rnacentral:rRNA from 1 species
CAGUCGCCACGGGAAUACGUAGGUGGCAAGCGUUGUCCGGAAUUAUUGGGCGUAAAGCGCGCGCAGGUGGUUUAAUAAGUCUGAUGUGAAAGCCCACGGCUCAACCGUGGAGGGUCAUUGGAAACUGUUAAACUUGAGUGCAGGAGAGAAAAGUGGAAUUCCUAGUGUAGCGGUGAAAUGCGUAGAGAUUAGGAGGAACACCAGUGGCGAAGGCGGCUUUUUGGCCUGUAACUGACACUGAGGCGCGAAAGCGUGGGGAGCGAACAGGAUUAGAUACCCCAGUAGUCCCUGUCUCUUAUAC